UGGAGAGUUUGAUCCUGGCUCAGGACGAACGCUGGCGGCGUGCCUAAUACAUGCAAGUCGAGCGAGGGUUUUCGGACCCUAGCGGCGGACGGGUGAGUAACACGUAGGCAACCUGCCUGCAAGACUGGGAUAACAUAGGGAAACUUAUGCUAAUACCGGAUAGAGUUUUGCUUCGCAUGAAGCGAAACGGAAAGAUGGCGCAAGCUAUCACUUGCAGAUGGGCCUGCGGCGCAUUAGCUAGUUGGUGAGGUAAAGGCUCACCAAGGCGACGAUGCGUAGCCGACCUGAGAGGGUGACCGGCCACACUGGGACUGAGACACGGCCCAGACUCCUACGGGCAGCAG
rnacentral:rRNA from 1 species